rnacentral:rRNA from 1 species
UACGGAAGGGGCUAGCGUUGUUCGGAAUUACUGGGCGUAAAGCGCGCGCAGGCGGCUUGGCGAGUGAGGCGUGAAAGGCCUGGGCUCAACCCGGGAACGGCGCUUCAGACUGCCAGGCUUGAGUUCGGGAGAGGGUGGUGGAAUUCCCAGUGUAGAGGUGAAAUUCGUAGAUAUUGGGAGGAACACCGGUGGCGAAGGCGGCCACCUGGCCCGCAACUGACGCUACAGCGCGAAAGCGUGGGGAGCAAACAGGAUUAGAUACCCUGGUAGUCCACGCCGUAAACGAUGAGUGCUAGAUGUCGGGAAGCUUGGCUUUUCGGUGUCGCAGCUAACGCGUUAAGCACUCCGCCUGGGGAGUACGGCCGCAAGGUUAAA